rnacentral:sRNA from 1 species
UAAGUAAGUUUUUGUUUGUAUUAAUUAAAAUUAAUUUACAGUCGCGUGUAUAAUAUGUGACUGUUUUACUAAGGCAAUGUUUGCUUUGUCUUUAAGCCCUUAGAGAUUUGUUUGAUUCCAUGGAUAAAACUUCUUCCAGUAUUCCACCUAUUAUUCUACUGCAGUUUUUGCACAUGGCUUUCCCACAGUUUGCCGAGAAGGGUGAACAAGGACAGUAUCUUCAACAGGAUGCUAAUGAAUGUUGGAUACAAAUGAUGCGAGUAUUGCAACAGAAAUUGGAAGCCAUAGAGGAUGAUUCUGUUAAAGAGACAGACUCCUCAUCUGCAUCGGCAGCGACACCUUCUAAAAAGAAAAGUUUAAUCGAUCAGUUCUUCGGUGUUGAGUUUGAAACUACCAUGAAAUGUACAGAAUCUGAAGAAGAAGAAGUCACCAAAGGAAAGGAAAAUCAACUUCAGCUUAGCUGUUUUAUCAAUCAGGAAGUCAAGUAUCUUUUUACAGGACUUAAAUUGCGACUUCAGGAAGAAAUCACCAAACAGUCUCCAACGUUGCAAAGAAAUGCCUUGUAUAUCAAAUCUUCCAAGAUCAGCCGGCUGCCUGCUUACUUGACCAUUCAGAUGGUUCGAUUUUUUUAUAAAGAGAAGGAAUCUGUGAAUGCCAAAGUUCUUAAGGAUGUUAAAUUUCCUCUUAUGUUGGAUAUGUAUGAACUGUGUACACCAGAACUUCAGGAGAAAAUGGUGUCUUUUCGAUCCAAAUUCAAGGAUCUAGAAGAUAAAAAAGUGAAUCAGCAGCCAAAUACAAGUGACAAAAAGAGUAGUCCCCAGAAAGAAGUUAAGUAUGAACCCUUUUCUUUUGCUGAUGAUAUUGGCUCCAAUAAUUGUGGAUACUAUGACUUACAAGCAGUACUAACACACCAGGGAAGGUCUAGUUCUUCAGGUCAUUAUGUAUCAUGGGUGAAAAGGAAACAAGAUGAAUGGAUUAAGUUUGAUGAUGACAAAGUCAGCAUCGUAACACCAGAAGAUAUCUUACGGCUUUCUGGUGGUGGAGACUGGCAUAUCGCUUACGUUCUACUCUAUGGGCCUCGCAGAGUUGAAAUAAUGGAAGA